rnacentral:rRNA from 1 species
GAUGAACGCUGGCGGCGUGCCUAAUACAUGCAAGUCGAGCGAACAGACGAGGAGCUUGCUCCUCUGACGUUAGCGGCGGACGGGUGAGUAACACGUGGAUAACCUACCUAUAAGACUGGGAUAACUUCGGGAAACCGGAGCUAAUACCGGAUAAUAUAUUGAACCGCAUGGUUCAAUAGUGAAAGACGGUUUUGCUGUCACUUAUAGAUGGAUCCGCGCCGCAUUAGCUAGUUGGUAAGGUAACGGCUUACCAAGGCGACGAUGCGUAGCCGACCUGAGAGGGUGAUCGGCCACACUGGAACUGAGACACGGUCCAGACUCCUACGGGAGGCAGCAGUAGGGAAUCUUCCGCAAUGGGCGAAAGCCUGACGGAGCAACGCCGCGUGAGUGAUGAAGGUCUUCAGAUCGUAAAACUCUGUUAUUAGGGAAGAACAAAUGUGUAAGUAACUACGCACGUCUUGACGGUACCUAAUCAGAAAGCCACGGCUAACUACGUG